rnacentral:tRNA from 1 species
AUUGCUUUGGCAGAGUAGUGCUCUAGAUUUAGAAUCUAAUCAUGGGGGUAUCACCCCAGGCAAUA